ACAACGUGGGCACACAUUUUGAGACUGCUCUCUUAUGGCUGUCCGUGUGGCAUAUAGGAGCAUCGCACUGUUAAGUGGAGUGAUGUAUAUUCCUGUCCCACAACGUUGGAGAGCAAGUCUGUCUCCAGCCUUAUGGCUAGUGAGGACAGCAUCCUGUAUAUUCCUAACUCUCCUCAGAGUCCGUGGGCAGUUACUGAGGAGACAAACCAUGCAGGAUACAAGC